UGAUGCGUGGGGACCUCUACCACAUUGCUGGAGAGCAGUCUUAGAAAAUUUGUUCUGCUUUAGAAUCGUCAGUUAAGAGAACUGCCAAUAAUAUGUAGUUUAACCCUGUUACUUCAUAGAACAGGGGCCUGAGAAGAAGGAACUGACAAUGAUUUACCCAAGGUCAUAAAGCUACAGAUAAAGAAAAUCAUGGUUCAAGCUUAGAUGUCCUUCUCUGUAGCCCAACACAUGGUGAAAUCCAUGCUCUAGAGAUCAACGAAAUCAGACUCAGGGCAAAAAUGAGACCACAAGCAGAAGGCUGGAAUCCGAGCAGGGGUGGAAGUGCUUUGAAAAUAUGCCUUCAUUGAGCGUGGCAUGCACUUUAUUUGUACAAAGUCUAACCUCACUUCUGAAAGUGGAGUUGGAAUCACUCAUUCUGACAGCACAUAAUGGACAUAUUUUCCACUAUGCUGUGUUUUUGCUUCAAGUGAGAUUAUUCAACAUCUUAUAAAGCAGCUUUUACCAUUUCGUGACAAGUUUGAUAAGACAAUGGGGAUAAAACCUGAUGGAAGACAUAUUAUUCAAGAGUAAAUUCAAAAUAGUGAUCAACCUAUUUUGGGAGAAGAAUUUGCCAAGUUUGAACAACCAUAAAGGAGAUACACAUCAGCAAUGAGAAGAUAAUAAGUAGCUCGGCAUUAUAAAACACACCAAAAUUAAUUGUAGGUUUUUUUUUUCCCCCAUACCCACUUCAUCAAAGAGACUGUGUACACAUGCAAAUGGAGAUAAAGACUUCUUCCACCAGAGAUAUAGGUCAAAAUGUCACAGUUUAGAAGGAUGAAACGACUUUUUGUCUACUUUAAAUGUACUCAACCAAGUAAAUAAUUAUAUUGGCUUAUUCAUUAUGUGAACACAUAAUAUAUCCUUGUCCGUGAUGCUUACAGAAUUCCAGUGAAAUCGGCGGUAAUUUUUAC